GGCUGGUCCAAAGGCAGUGAGUUAUCUCAACUGAUUGUUCAUAAUCAUAGUCAGUUCCAGAUUGAACUCCUUGUUCUACUCUUUCCCCCUUUCUCACUGCUGUACUUGACUAGUCUAAA
rnacentral:Y_RNA from 1 species